UACGUAGGGUGCGAGCGUUGUCCGGAAUUAUUGGGCGUAAAGAGCUCGUAGGCGGUCUGUCGCGUCGAUCGUGAAAACUUGGGGCUUAACCCUGAGCUUGCGGUCGAUACGGGCAUCACUGGAGUUCGGCAGGGGAGACUGGAAUUCCUGGUGUAGCGGUGAAAUGCGCAGAUAUCAGAGGAACACCGGUGGCGAAGGCGGGCCACUGGACCGAAUACUGACGCUGAGACUGAACGAAGCGUGGGGAGCAAACAGG
rnacentral:rRNA from 1 species